GCGGCGGUGGCGGAAUUGGUAUACGCGCCAGCUUGAGGUGCUGGUGGGGGCAACCCCGUGGAAGUUCGAGUCUUCUCCGCCGCACCA
rnacentral:tRNA from 1 species